CUGCUGAUCAUGUGGAUGCAAUUCUCGAUGGGCUUUCUGCAGAAUAUGAUGGCUUCGUUACCGCCAUUCUUUCUCGUCAAGAUCCAUAUACGGUGGAUGAUCUUGAAGCCCUUCUCCUCGCACAAGAAGAACGCUUUGAAAGGCACAAACUGGCCCAAGACUCCAUUCUUCAGGUAAAUACCGUCUCCUCCUCUUGGAACCCUAAAAACCAAUACAAAAAGAAACCGUUCCACUAUAACUUUCGUGGAGGUC
rnacentral:lncRNA from 1 species